GAUGAACGCUGGCGGCGUGCCUAAUACAUGCAAGUCGAGCGAACAGACGAGGAGCUUGCUCCUCUGACGUUAGCGGCGGACGGGUGAGUAACACGUGGAUAACCUACCUAUAAGACUGGGAUAACUUCGGGAAACCGGAGAUAAUACCGGAUAAUAUAUAGAACCGCAUGGUUCAAUAGUGAAAGACGGAUUUGCUGUCACUUAUAGAUGGAUCCGCGCCGCAUUAGCUAGUUGGUAAGGUAACGGCUUACCAAGGCAACGAUGCGUAGCCGACCUGAGAGGGUGAUCGGCCACACUGGAACUGAGACACGGUCCAGACUCCUACGGGAGGCAGCAGUAGGGAAUCUUCCGCAAUGGGCGAAAGCUUGACGGAGCAACGCCGCGUGAGUGAUGAAGGUCUUCGGAUCGUAAAACUCUGUUAUUAGGGAAGAACAAAUGUGUAAGUAACUAUGCACGUCUUGACGGUACCUAAUCAGAAAGCCACGGCUAACUACGUG
rnacentral:rRNA from 1 species